UGGUUCUGGCAUCGAUGAAGAACGCAGCGAAAUGCGAUAAGUAGUGUGAAUUGCAGAAUUCAGUGAAUCAUCGAAUCUUUGAACGCACAUUGCGCCCUUUGGUAUUCCUUAGGGCAUGCCUGUUCGAGCGUCAUUUAAACCUUCAAGCUCAGCUUGGUGAUGGGUGACUGUCCCCUCCCUUCGCGGGGGGACUCGCCUCAAAAACAUUGGCGGCCGGUACAUUGGCUUCGAGCGCAGCAGAAACGCGGUCUCGAGCCCGGUGGAUCGGCUCCCAUAAGCCUCAUUCUUUAUUUUGACCUCGGAUCAGGUAGGGAUACCCGCUGA
rnacentral:misc_RNA from 1 species